rnacentral:rRNA from 1 species
AACGCGAAGAACCUUACCAGGGCUUGACAUCCCUUGAUCGGUGCAGAAAUGCAUCCUCCAUAGCAAUAUGGCAGGGUGACAGGUGCUGCAUGGCUGUCGUCAGCUCGUGUCGUGAGAUGUUGGGUUAAGUCCCGCAACGAGCGCAACCCUCGCCCUUAGUUGCCAUCAUUCAGUUGGGCACUCUAGGGGGACUGCCGGUGAUAAGCCGCGAGGAAGGUGGGGAUGACGUCAAGUCCUCAUGGCCCUUACAGGCUGGGCUACACACGUGCUACAAUGGCGGUGACAAUGGGAUGCGGAGGGGCGACCCCGAGCAAAUCUCAAAAAGCCGUCUCAGUUCAGAUUGCACUCUGCAACUCGAGUGCAUGAAGGUGGAAUCGCUAGUAAUCGUAGAUCAGAACGCUACGGUGAAUACGUUCCCGGGCCUUGUACACACCGCUAGUC